rnacentral:rRNA from 1 species
CUAGCUUGCUAGGAGGCGUCGAGCGGCGGACGGGUGAGUAACGCGUGAGAAUCUGCCCAUUUGUGGGGGAUAACUCGGGGAAACUCGAGCUAAUACCGCAUAAUCCCUACGGGGGAAAGCAGGGGACCUUCGGGCCUUGUGCAGAUGGAUGAGCUCGCGUCGGAUUAGCUUGUUGGUGAGGUAAAGGCUCACCAAGGCGACGAUCCGUAGCUGGUCUGAGAGGAUGAUCAGCCACACCGGGACUGAGACACGGCCCGGACUCCUACGGGAGGCAGCAGUGGGGAAUCUUGGACAAUGGGGGCAACCCUGAUCCAGCCAUGCCGCGUGUGUGAAGAAGGCCUUCGGGUUGUAAAGCACUUUCAGUAGGGAGGAAGGCUUACCGCUAAUAACGGUGAGUACUUGACGUUACCUACAGAAGAAGCACCGGCUAAUUUCGUGCCAGCAGCCGCGGUAAUACGAAAGGUGCGAGCGUUAAUCGGAAUUACUGGGCGUAAAGCGCGCGUAGGCGGUUUGUUAAGUCAGAUGUGAAAGCCCCGGGCUCAACCUGGGAAUUGCAUUUGAAACUGGCAGGCUAGAG